ensembl:lncRNA
AUGCCUUCUUUUACACCAGUGCAACAGCAUUAUAGCUCUGCAAAACUCACAUAUAAAAAUCAAGAGAAGAACAAUAAUGGUAUCAGCAUCACAACUUGUUUCUUUGUUUUUCCUCCAGAUGUUCAAAGCUCAAUUACAGCUCAGAGAAAUCCCAGAAGAGAUUGGGACACACCUGAUCAUGAAUAUGACGUACCUGGUAAUCAACAUUCAGUGACAAUGAGUCCAGUCUAUGAGAGCCUCAACCCCAACACCAGUCAACCAGAUUCAGUCUACCAGAGACCACGUUUCAACUCCAACCAAUCAGAUUCAAUCUACCAGGGCCUAAAUCCCAACACCAACCAAUCAGAUUCAGAAUACCAGAGUCUAAACCUCAACACCAACCAAUCAGAUUCAGUCUACCACAGCCUAAACCCCAACACCAUUCAAUCAAAUUAAGUACACCAGUGACUAAACCCCAACUCGACCAAUCAAAAUAAGUAUACCAAAGACUAAACAUCAACACUGAUCAAAUUUAGUCUAACGGAGUCUAAACCUUAACACCAACCAAUCAGAUUCAGUCUACCAGAGACUAACCUUCAACACCAAUCAAACCUGAGUCUUAAGCUUUGAUGAAUCUGAAUGUGAUAAAUUAAUUUGAAGCUUGUAUCAUUUUUUAAAAUAAGGACUAGUACCAGUCUUUAGCUGGAAAUUAAGCUGUGUUUCACUUUCUUUUCAUUUUUAGCUAGUUUAAGGAUCCUGUUGUGAAUACUUGUGCCUUAAAUGUCAAACUGGAGGGUGGCACAAUUUUACAUUUUGUAGAAAACUACUUUAUGAAACAUACCAGAUACCAUUCAUUUCUAUUUACUAUUGAUGUUUGUAGAAUUUGUCUGCUUUUGAAAUAAAUAAUAGACAGAGAACUUCAUAGCAGUCUUAGCACUUUCUUUAGAGUUGUUUUUUUUACUUUGUUUAUAUAGUAACAUCUCUAUUUUGACUCUAUUUUGCACCUGUCAUGGCAAUCUUAAAAGGUUUUCCCUUCUUUUGUUCUGAAUGUUUGUUAGAAUUUAGUAACUUUUUUUUUCAUUUUCACUGUACUCUGUGUUCUUAGUUUACUUUAAGCAUACACUGUAAAAAAUUAUAUCAGCUUCAACUUAAAAACUUAAGUUCAAAAGCUGCCUUAAAGUUUUAAGUUAAAUGAAAUCAUUAUUACCAUUUACUUCAACUCAAGACUUAAAGUUUAGUUUGGCUUUGAAUUCCUUCCUGCAAGUUGAUUAGACUGUCUAGUGCUUGUUGUUUCAACUUAGCAAUGCAAGUUUAAAGUUCAGAUGACUUACUAAAACAAGUUGUGUUUACUGGUUCCAUUUACUGGUUUCAACUUACAUAUUUAAGUUAUUGUACACCUUGACAUUACUUUUUAAGUUAAGAUAAUGUUCAAACAUUUAUUGUUUUAAAUUGUGAAUCUUAGUUACAUCAAUAAAGACCACUUCUGAGGCAAUAUCUCAUUUUUAUUUUCUUGGAUUUAACAUUGAAUAUACAAUAAAGAACUAGAAAAUCACAACACAAAAACAGUUCAUGUAUAAUGGUACAAAAGUACUUGAAUACACAUGUAUAAAAGAUACGCAUGUAUGCCAGAAUAAUUUAUCAAAUUUUAUGUAUGGCCUAAUACAUGUCAACAGUGACAAAUAAAAUAGUCUUAAUUUCCUGUGUAAGUGCAGGUUUGUUUUAAACUGUAACAAUAGAAAACAUGAAAAAGAAGCUGUGUUGUGCUGACAUUCAGUUCUCCCUCAUGUGCAAGCAUGUCACACAGCAGUAUGGUCACAAACACCUACAAUCGAGCCUCCUGUAUCUAUUGUAAUUCAAUUCACAGAAAUAAAAUAUUAACCCUUAUUUACUAACAGAAAUAAAUUAAACAAAUCCAAGGAAUUUGUUAGGCUCAUUCUGCUGAGGGACACACCUGCACAUAAAGGGAGUUGAAUUAUGGCAAGUGUGGGCUUGGAAAGGCAACUCAUGGAAUAACAACAUUCUACAAACCCAUCAAUGUCAAGUAUAGGACGGAACAGCCCACGUAGAUGAUGACAAAUUGCAUCAAAGUUAUUCUGUGUGAAAGUAAACUGCAAUGUAAAACUAACCAACCGACUAAAUUUGCACAAUCCUAUGAACUUUGGUCCAGACUUUCAGGUGCAAAAACGCUGCAAAUGGCCAGAGACUUCAACCAACUGACUAAAUGUACACAAUCCAACAAAAAUAUGAACCUUGGUCCAGGCUUUGGUCCAGACUUUCAGGUGCAAAAAUGCUCCAGAGACUUUACACUAUACAUAA